UCUUGAAGAUGGCCACCAUCAGAUCAGUGGACAUAUCGUACACCUUUGUACUGCCUUAGCAUUUCUUGAAACUCUGCAGGCUUCAAAGGAAGGGUGAGAGAUAUUUAAUCUAAGCAUUUAUGCCACUUCUUCCUUCGUGAUGCAUCCUGACCUGUCUGUAUCAUACAUCUGAUGAGAACAUAAAAUAUUAUUCUUUUGUAAAUUCCCUUUGAGGGAAUUGUCUCUCUGCAGAGCAAAUUCUCCUUUUGUAACUGUUAGUACUACUACUGAAUUGGUUGCAGUUAUUUGUUCUUGUAUUCUUUGCAUGCAGUGGCUUAACAAUUGCAUCGGUCGGAAGAACUACACAACUUUUAUUCUACUUAUUGCCACAAGUCUCAUUUGGAUUGUAAUUGAGUGUGGAGUUGGCAUUGCCGUCCUAGUGCACUGCAACUGUUGUGG